rnacentral:rRNA from 1 species
AGGACGAACGCUGGCGGCGUGCUUAACACAUGCAAGUCGAACGGAAAGGCCCGCUUGCGGGUACUCGAGUGGCGAACGGGUGAGUAACACGUGGGCAACCUGCCCUCAGCUCUGGGAUAACUCCGGGAAACCGGUGCUAAUACUGGAUAUCGACUUCUGCUCGCAUGGGUGGUUGUUGAAAGUUUUUCGGCUGGGGAUGGGCCCGCGGCCUAUCAGCUUGUUGGUGGGGUGAUGGCCUACCAAGGCGACGACGGGUAGCC